UCAGCAGCAAGGUACUCGAGGACAGCAGAGAGGUAGACGGGAGCCCCAGCACCAACACGCUCAGCAUACUUUCCGGCCUUGAGAAACCUAGCGAUCCUCCCUACAGGGAACUGCAACCCAGCCUUCUGCGAGCGCGACACAGACUUUGACGCCUUAGGCUUUCCUCUCCCUCCCUUCGUUGAUCCCCCAGUAGAACUCAUUUUCACUAAUCUCAAAAUUAUAACCAAACGCAAACCCUAAUUUUUGUUUCGCACACAGUGAAAGCGUAGCAGAGAAGAUGAGAGAC
rnacentral:misc_RNA from 1 species